GACCUACCACACGGUGUGAGGAGGACACAUGUGGGUGCAGUGUGAUAGUAGAAUAUGCUGCAUAAUGUGUGGCCUCCCCACACUGUGUUGUGUC